GCAUUGCCGGGUAGCUAUGUUCGGAAAAGAUAACCGCUGAAAGCAUCUAAGCGGGAAACUUGCCUCAAGAUGAGAUCUCACUGGGAACUUGAUUCCCCUGAAGGGCCGUCGAAGACUACGACGUUGAUAGGCUGGGUGUGUAAGCGUUGUGAGGCGUUGAGCUAACCAGUACUAAUUGCCCGUGAGGCUUGACCAUAUAACACCCAAACA
rnacentral:rRNA from 1 species